GUAAACAGUUGAAGGAAAAAUCAUUCAAAACAUAAAUACCCCUAAAUAUUUAUGUUGCAUUUUCAUUUGCAAUCAUCUUAGCUCUUUUAUAAAUUUAUAGCCAAAAUAUGAUAAGGGAAUAUCAAUAAUAUAACCUUCAACUGGCCAAAAAAAGAGGUGAGGUUGCCAAUUUUAGCAAAAACUAUACAGUUGAAUGGUCAAUAAAGUUACCAAGAGCAAAUGACAAGGUGGAGGAAAACACCAACAAUCUACAGUCACAAAUUGUCAACUGGCAAUGACAUGGCUUGGGCUGCAGAAUAUUUCCUGUGAAUGAUUUUAAAUGGCAAUAUUCUUUAUAGGAGUAUUAUUUACACAGAUGAUAUGGGAUCUGGAAACAUACUACAUCAAAGGAGGCUGAGAGAUAACCUUUAUAACAAGGCAGGCUCUACUUGUCCUACUCAGAAUGUAAUAUAUGUUUAAAUAUAAAAUAAACGUCAUUUCCUUUUUUCAUUAUUUGGAGAUGGAAAAAUAAAAUUAUUUUUUGAAACUUAUUUUUAAACUCACAUAUUGGAAAACAUCAUCCUCAGUCUCAGCUAUUCACAAGGAUUCUUAAAUAGUCUCUCGAUUCCUUUAGUGUCUCAGGAGCUUUUUAUUAAAUGACUGAGUUAUCGCUUCUAUCUCUCCCUGAACGCUACAAUUAAUCCCAUUGGUUAAUCAUAUUAGCAUUUUACUCCAUCACAGGAUCUGAACAUGUAGCAUCCAUGAAAAACAAACUUUUAUAAUACAUACAGCAUUCAGGAGCCAGUGAAGCAGUCUGUAAAUCAUGCCUCCUACUAAAAAUGAUCAUGUCUAUAACUGUGAUUAAAACUAGGCUAUAAAUUUAAAACAAUAAAUCCAGCAAAGAAAGAAAUUCUAGCACCCUAGAUCUAAUAUCAUUGUGUCUUCUUAUUCUGGCACCAUUACCACCAUACAGAAAUGUUAUCUGAAAUAUCUAGAAUAAUUCUUACUGGGAACAACAAAGAUGCUCCUGGUUUCUGGGUUGAAGACGUGGUGAAAGAAAACUAAGAAGACAAAAGUUACACAUAACAAGAUCCAUAAAUAUAAUGUCCUAAACAGUCUGAUGAAAAUGUGGUAAAAGAUUGGACCCUGCUGUUUUUCUGUUCUACCAUAAGGCAAUUAUCGGAGUAGAAUGGCCACCACAGUGGGGAGCUGGAAAUAUGAUUUUUAAAGUCCUCUCUAGAGGCCUUAUUUUAUAUUCAUUUAUAAAAUAAGAAAAUUAUUGCCUUGAGGCAAAAGCCUGAAAGCCCCAUACAAGCUCCGGUCUGACUUUACUUACACGAGAGAGGUCUAGGGAAAGGCAGUGAACAUCUCCACAUGCUAUACGGAGAAAAUCUUGAGAUCCUUGUGAUGUCAACAUUUUUUCACCUUUGGAUUUGAUGGAAGCUUAAGUUCAGUGUACUGGACAUCCUUCAAACCUUCUCUGCCAGUUUCCUCUUUAACAAACUUCAAACCUGAGUUUCUUGAGCCAAAGUUGGCUUUUACACACAGCUAUUUAACAAUGAACCCUUGUUAUACUUCAUCAUUUUGCUGAAGAAUUACAUAAUUAUGGUUGUAGCCCUUAUCGACUUUUCCCUUGCCUUUGGUUCCAGGUACGGGAUAAAACGUGUGAACUUGAUAUGGAACAUUGUACCACAGGGGGAUUGGAAGAUGAGCCUUCUAACAGAUAAACAUUUUAUGUAAUAUAAAAUAGAAAUGUAGUUUGGGGGCACUUGUUUUUAACUUAAUAAUCUGAUACAGUUUUAAGAUAAUGACAUGCUUUUCUGCUACUGAGAAUACAAACAUUAUUGUCUAUAAUGAAGACAUGAUUUUGUUGUCAUAUAUUUUCGCUUGCUGAGGACACACCUCAGACAACUGAUUGUGUUCUGUAAUUACCACAAAGAAUGUCUAUUUAAUUAUUUUCAGAAAGAAUGACUUAAUGCCAAGAACUUUAAGACAAAAUGACAACUGACACUGAAUGUUUACUUUUCUAAGCAUUUUACAUGUAUUCUUUCAUUCAGUCCACAUUAAUAUGGCUAACACAAUUAACAAUAAUCCUAUGAAUUAGAAACUAUUGUUUAUUCCUUAUGAAUAUAAGAAACUGAUGCACAGAGCAAUUAUACAACAUAUAGCUAGUAAAUUGUGGGGCAAGGAUUCAAAUCUGAUUGACCGAUAUAUAUUGAAAAACUGACCCUUCUUACUGUGGAUUUAAGGUCCACUCUGUAGAUCCCACUGUUAAGUUCAAAAUUCUACCUAUUUAAGGCCAUCACUGAAGACAGUUUUUGAAUAUAAUUGAUGUGUUUAUUACAUACCUAAUAUAUGCCUAUUGGAAGGUAAAAAAUUUUUAGAGAUACAUGAGUGUAUGAUAUAGUCCCUCUUUCCAAGGGACUUACAGUCUUACCAAAGAGAAAAGACAUCCAUAUUCAACAGAAAUAAAAAUAAGAUAACUCAGUUUAAUACCUGCAAUUGCAAACAGCAGUUAGGAGAAGAUAAAAUGAAAGUUAAUAAAGUUGUUGGGACUAUCUCAAGGCAAAACUGAUAAAAGUCAUAGAACUUAAAACUAGCAGUGAUGAGAAGGCAGUGAAGAGAGACUAGCAUAUUUUUAUUUAUAGAUGUCUAUUAUUCCAGUAGGAUUUCUCAUAUUCAUGCUCCUCUGUAAGAGAAAGACCAGGCUCAGUCUUUGUCUUGAUGGCCUAAAAGUUCAAAGCCAAAUUUUACUCUAGCCACAGUAAACCUCUUGGCCUUUCUAGGCAGGCAUAAAUAUUUCCCACAUUUUUCUGAGCUCGAAUUCUCUUUACAUUUUUAUUUUUUCUUCUUUGGGGUGGGGGAAAAGCAUAUUAAUCCUUUGUUUAAAAUGUUAUGUCAGUUUCAGUAAAAAGCUCAUGAAACAUUUUGAAGACUGAUCCAGGCAACUGUGUUAAUUUCAAAUAAUUAUGUGAAUUAAAUCAAACAACUUUUUAGAAGCUAAUAAUUGUUACCAUCCUCUGUCAAAUUACUGUUUGGCACAAAUGGAUACAUGGGCUAUAGAUUGCUUGACUUUUUCUGUUUUUCAACCUUUUCAGUCUUCAUGUUAGUAUUGGUGAAUAUUAACCAGAAUUUAUAUUUCAAAGAGUAAAAAUAAAAAUCAUUUUUGAUUGCUACAUUUUAUAAAUAAAAAACUACAGCAGAAUAUGAUUAAAGACCAUGAUAAAAAUCACUCAGGUAACAGUGAGACAGUCAGGUAGGAGGGGGUCCCUAGCAAAACUCCAACCGGUCUCCACACUGGGAAUGUGCACUAGGGUGAAGUCAGAGAGAGGUUGCAGCCCAUUUGCAGCAGGGGGGAGCCUGGCCCCUCCUCUUCCUUCGUGAGACCUGGGAUUCAAGCGGCCAAGCAGGAAGUGCCCUAGGGGGGACUAUGGCCUUGCAGAGAGUCCCUGUUUCCCUCUUUUCUUCCCUCUCACCCAAUAAAACACUGUCUUACUCACCAUUCAAAUUGCCUGUAAACCUGAAUUUUCCUGGCUGUGGGAUAAGGACCCUGUCUUUAGCUGAAAUAAGGAAAAUUCCUGCAAACAAUAGCAAACAGACCAGUAGGAGAACGUACAUUUACUUAGAACUAUUUUUUCCUAGAGUGAAAUAUUUUUAGUUUAUGAAUACACUGACAUUUAGAAAUAUGCAGAAUUAUUUCUGCCUUAAAAGUACAAAUAACUGUCAAUAAAGUUGUCAUUUUACAAGUACAGUCAAAUAGAUAUACUUCUAAUCUGAAACAUGGUGUAUAAGAAGUGACUUUAGUUCUUUUGAAUUUUUUUAAGUUGAGAAAUAGUCUCUUCAUCAAAUUCUGCUCAUCACUUGGACUAUUAAUCUGCAGUUAUCUCUGUGUUUAUUUGGUAGGUACAAAUUUUCAUCCACAGACAUUUGUUCAAUGCUUCUUUCCUUUUAUAUUAUAUAAUGAUAUUUUCAUAUUUUUAACUCUAAUCAAUAAAAUAAGCAUUUAUUCAUUUAUUCAUUUUUAUUAUGGUAUUCCAGUGACUGUGAUGGGAGACACAGUGAUCAAAUGCUUAUAGUGAAUAAAUAAUUGUGACUCAAUGUGGUAUUUCUAAUGAAGUUUGUGCAUGAUGCUGUGAAAUGAUUGGGUUUGCUGGAAAUCAGAAAAGGCCUUACAGAGUAAAUGCUACUUGAGAAACUUUAGGUUUGCCAUUGACGAAAAUUAGUUCUCUCUACAGUCUCCACAUCCAGCUCCUAACUAGAAUUUAGAAGUCUUUUAGAUGUCUAGAAAACUGGGACUCUAACAGUUUCUAAGUCUAGUAUUCUCCCCAUAUAGCUACUCAGUUUUUUCUACUAUGUAUGUCAAAUAAAAUUUUGAAAAAAUUGUCCCUUCCCACAAUCUUUUCAAAUUAAUCCUCAAAUAAAAAUCAUUUAAUUUAGCUAUUCCAUAAUAAAUAAUAUGCAAUUUUAUUAAAUAAAUAAAUAAAUUUAAUGGGUUGUCAGAAGUGUUCUGUUUCGUUUUGUUUGAAAAAUGUCCAUUAAAAUGCUACUUAUGUGGGUUCAGAAGCCUAUGAUCCAAUUCUAACUUCAGGAAUAGGUGAAAACAUGUAGAAAGGGUAUACUGGGCUAUGCAAUUUAAAUUUUAAUCAACUACCAGUUAUGGCAUAAGACUGAUGUGAAAAUGAAUGAGAAUUAGAUUAUAUGUAGAGUAUUUUGUCUUCUGUUCUGUCACUAUCAAAUUUUUCAUUUAAGAAAUGGAAAAAAAAAUUAGUAAGGUGGUGAAUUUGCCUGAUAUACCAAUAAGCACAGUUGUUUUGGAAGUUGCUUGAUACCAUUAACUCUUUGCGUCUUUAAAUAAGUAUUUUUUUCCUUAACAAACACUUAUCUUUAUAAGAUAUCAUUACUCUCAAACAAUUCCAAUGUUUAUUUGGUGCUUAUGGCAUUUUUAAGUUUAAAUCUUCAAGAAUAUACUUUGCAUUAAGAUGAACCUAAUAGUAUUAGUGAAUUCAGCAACUAGUUCAAGGCAUAGUUUUCUGAUAUACCUACUUAAGAAAAUGAAUAUAUUUUAAUUUUAGAAUGUCAGAACAUGUCAGUAUUAAAGACAGUUAUCAUGAAUAAUGCUAUUUUAAUCAAUGGCAAAGGAAUUGUGCCUAAUGUUCUAAAAUACUCUUGAGGAUUAUGAAUAGUGUACAGUAUGGCAAAGGCAGCCAUGAGAAUCCCCAAUAUAUAAAAUGUAUACUGUAUUCAAAUAAUUAUUUCUCAAAAAUAUAAAUUUUCACUCUGGCUAGUUUUCUAUAGAGUGGUACAUGCUAUUUGGUAGUAAAUGAGCCUGUAAAACUGAACUCAUUAGACUGCAACUACUUCUGUUGAAUAUCUAAAACAUCCUUAAUGUGAAUGUUUUGAAUUUAUCUUUUAUAUGUGUAGAGUCUGUAGUUUGUUAGUGACUAUAAAUUAAAACAAUCUUUAGAUUUUUUAAGUUUCACAAUUGUUCUGUAUUCCAAUUAAGAGGCUGAAAAUCUAGUCUGGGAAACCCCACUUGGUUUACAAAAAAAAAAAAAAAACACAUCAAUAUGCUUUUUAUUUCAUCGGGCUCUGGGACUGUUAAGAUUAGCACAAAAUACUGACCUUUACACUCCUGAGUGGAAUAGAAGGGGAGCAGGGUGGAAUGAUGAUGGCAAGUAAUUGGACAAUUGGACAGUCUCCAGAAAGGCUUUGAGAAACACUAUUAAAUCUCUAUCUGCUGAUUGAAAAUUCCAGGUUCAUAAGGUAUAACAAUAGCCGAAAAUCAAGCCGUAGGUGAUCUCUACCUUUCCUCUCCAGGUUUGUACCCCACCUACUUUGCAAGAACCUGUGACAAUCUUUUAAUUAAAACAUCUGAAUAAUUAAACAUUUUAGGCUAAUGAUGACAAGAAGGCAGGCUAUAUUUUAUUCCUGUUGUCGAACUGCCCAGUGUAUAUUACAUUUGCUAUAAUUACUCAAAAAAUCCUGCCUCAAAAUAUAUUAUAAUUAAAAAGGAAAGAAAAGAAAAGAAGGAAAAGGGAAGAAAUAGACUAAAAUUAAAUUAGGGUCUUACACUUAUAAUGAGGUGGCUCUAAGGAGGUAAGACUUAACCUAAAUUAGUUUUUAUUCCUUUGAAUUAGUGGAAUAAAUGCACCUUAAAUUUCUCUAUUCCAUCAGGACAGAUCACAGGUGAGCCUGGUAAGGGAGUAAGCAAAGAACAAUUACAGUUUCAGGGUCCUAAAUCAACCACAGGGAGAAUAACACAUUACUCUGCUUACAUUCCUCUUCCUCUCCACGUUUAUGUCUCCUUCCGUAUUUCCUUCUCAGUUUGAGUUUUAUAUAGCAUACAACAUACACAUGUGCCAACACAAUGUGAGUGACAAGACUGGGAGAGGAAAAGCUUACAUUAAUUUAUCUUGAAAAAUGAAAUGUCCAAUUAUACAAUAUGCUAGAGCGCUAUUAGCUCACCAAAUAACAUAAAUAAGGUUAUAUUAAACUCAGUGCCAGACCUGACAACCAAACCUAGAUUCAAAAGCAGGUCUUUCUUUUUUUCAAAAAAUUUAAUAUAUUAGAAGUUAAGAAAAUUCACAUAAGGCUGAAACUCCUUGUUAAAAAAAAAUCCUUUGACAUUUUUCAUAAAAACAGCUCUUUGCCUGUGGCUCAAUUUAGGACUUUCACAAAUCACUUGAAUAAUGAAGGCCUUGGUUUGACAUGACUGUAUGUGUGAUAUUCUAUGAAGGGUCCAGAAGCUUGUUAAGGACGAUCACUAAAAAAAAAUGAAAAUAUCUCCAGAUUAUUUUUGUCCAACCAGUAUAUGUUAGAAAGUUAUCUGCUGGAGUCUAUUUGAUAUACUUAAUAUGAUAUUAUUAUAAUAGAUGGCAGGAUAAAAAGAAAUCCACUAUAGGAUAUUCCCAUUUCUCUCCAGAGUCACGGUAUCUGUGACACCACAUACCAGUCUCCUCCAGGAUACCACUAUAAUUUAAUACAUGCAAAGUAUCCAACUAAUUUGUCUGUUACUGAUUAGGAAAUUCCACAGUAAGUUUCUCACCAAAGCAAAGCCCGAAGAACUAACAUUUAAACUAUUUCAUUAUGGGGUGAAAAAAAAAUCAUCAUUCAGAAAUAAAGGUACCAGUUAGUAACAAAUUAUGUACAAGUCAUUCCUGCACAGUGUAUUUCAAUCAUUUCAGUAUUUUUAGCCUCCCAAAAAAAGUUUCAGAAAUGAGGCAUAAAUGCUAUUAAACGAAUCAUUCACACGUUGAAUAGAUGUUGUCAUCAGUUUGUUCUCUGAAUGGAAAUAAUGAACAACUGAUUUAUUUAUAACUAGUCCUCAUAAUAAUACACCUUCAUGUUCCACCCUUUUCAAUAUAUUAUGGAUGUAACUGUCUUAUUUUAUACCUGAUCUAAAAUCAUAUGCUUCCGUAAAAAUUUCUUCUUUUCCAGGCUUUCACUUAGCUUUAAUUUUCCUUUGGCUUGGAUUGUAAUUAAAAUGUUUUUUACUGA